rnacentral:rRNA from 1 species
AACCUGGUUGAUCCUGCCAGUAGUCAUAUGCUUGUCUCAAAGACUAAGCCAUGCAUGUCUAAGUAUAAAUGCUAUACAAUGAAACUGCGAAUGGCUCAUUAAAACAGUUAUAGUUUAUUUGGUAAUCGAAUUUACAUGGAUAACCGUGGUAAUUCUAGAGCUAAUACAUGCUAUUAAGCCUGACUUCUUGAAAGGCCGUAUUUAUUAGAUAACAGACCAAUAUUCCUCGUGUCUAUUGUGGUGAAUCAUAGUAACUUUUCGGAUCGCACGGGUUUUGCCCGCGACAAACCAUUCAAGUUUCUGCCCCAUCAGCUUUCGAUGGUAGUGUAUUGGACUACCAUGGCUUUCACGGGUAACGGAGGAU